UUUUAAGUUCUCUAUUAUGGAGAGUUUGAUCCUGGCUCAGGACGAACGCUGGCGGCGUGCCUAAUACAUGC
rnacentral:rRNA from 1 species